CCUACGGGCGGCAGCAGUGGGGAAUAUUGGACAAUGGGCGAAAGCCUGAUCCAGCCAUGCCGCGUGUGUGAAGAAGGCCUUCGGGUUGUAAAGCACUUUCAGUGGGGAAGAAAGCCUUGGGGCUAAUACCCUCGAGGAAGGACAUCACCCACAGAAGAAGCACCGGCUAACUCCGUGCCAGCAGCCGCGGUAAUACGGAGGGUGCGAGCGUUAAUCGGAAUUACUGGGCGUAAAGCGCGCGUAGGCGGUCUGAUAAGCCGGUUGUGAAAGCCCCGGGCUCAACCUGGGAACGGCAUCCGGAACUGUCAGGCUAGAGUGCAGGAGAGGAAGGUAGAAUUCCCGGUGUAGCGGUGAAAUGCGUAGAGAUCGGGAGGAAUACCAGUGGCGAAGGCGGCCUCCGGGAUUGACACGGACGCUGAGGUGCGAAAGCGUGGGUAGAAAACAGGAUGAAUACCCCAGUAGUC
rnacentral:rRNA from 1 species